UAAGGGGGAGGUGGGAGAGGCAUGGACCAUGGGGGCCGCGGACGAGGGUCAGUAGGCGGGAUGCAGGCUUGGGGAAGGGGCAUAAACCUCGAGGGUGGAGUGGGGGUCUGAGUAGGGUGAAGGAUGAGGAAUGAGGGGCCCGAGACAAGGGCUGGUAGGUGGGGCGCAGGCUUUGGGGCGUGGCAAAUGGCGGAGGGCGGGGCGAAGGGUGGGGCUGGCCUUUCCUCUUGAGUCUGGAACUCAGCCCGAGUGACUAAGCGUCCUCUGGUCUGAACCUUCACAUUCCUCUUUCCCCUUGGCCCCUGGGUAACACAGAUGUCAAAAUCUUAAGCCUAAUACAUCAGAAUGUGACUGUUUGGAGACAGGAUUUUUGCAGAUGUCAAGACUGAGGCAUUGGAGUUAGCUGCUGUCCUCGUAAGAAGGGGAGUUAGGGAUGGCGGACCCCAGAGAUGUACCUUCAACCCUGCAGAUGGAACCAGCAGAAACUGAGUGCCCCCACCAGCACCAGAGCACCAAGCAGACCAGGAGAGCAAGGGAAGGACUCUGGGGACACAGCCAGCAUUGGAACAAGAGGCCACGGAGUCAAGCCAGACUGUUCAUGUGACAUACAUCCGCACACUGGCAUUAGCAGCUGCCUGCUAACGUAGAAGAUUUAAAUAGAACCAGGAGUCUCCAAACGGAAUAACCUAAAUGUCCGGCAUACAUUUGAAAAAGACCGCUUAUCAUUCCAAGAACAUUCACAACGUGAAUGUAAAAAGGCUGCUCACUGAAGUGGAUGCCAAGAUGAGCCAUCUGCCAAGGACUUGUCGACAGCCAUGAAAAUCGCUUUCAGAAGUAAUUACAAGAAGAAGUGAUUACAAACUCGUUUAAAAUUGAAAAAAAAAAAGAUUAAGUUAGCAACAAAAAAGAAAUUGUAAAGCGCCAAAUGGAAAUUAUAGAAUUUGAGAAAACAACCAGAAUAACACUGUCCAUCAUUAGAAGGACAUAGUGGUAGACUGGAGAUGGAGUGCUAGGACUUGCUUGGAUCUGAAACACAAAGAAAAUAGUACAAAGUGUGAACCUAAGCCAAGUUUGGUGGUGCAUGCCUGAAAUUGUAGCACUGAGGAGGCUGAUGCAGAAGGAUGGAAGGUUCUGGGCUGUAUGGUAUGAUCCUGUCACAUAAAAUAAAAUAAAAUUAAAACUC